rnacentral:rRNA from 1 species
GAUGAACGCUGGCGGCGUGCUUAACACAUGCAAGUCGAACGGGAAACCUUUUAUUGAAGCUUCGGCAGAUUUAGCUGGUUUCUAGUGGCGGACGGGUGAGUAACGCGUGGGUAACCUACCUUAUACAGGGGGAUAACAGUCAGAAAUGGCUGCUAAUACCGCAUAAGCGCACAGAGCUGCAUGGCCCAGUGUGAAAAACUCCGGUGGUAUAAGAUGGACCCGCGUUGGAUUAGCUGGUUGGUGGGGUAACGGCCCACCAAGGCGACGAUCCAUAGCCGGCCUGAGAGGGUGAACGGCCACAUUGGGACUGAGACACGGCCCAGACUCCUACGGGAGGCAGCAGUGGGGAAUAUUGCACAAUGGGGGAAACCCUGAUGCAGCGACGCCGCGUGAAGGAAGAAGUAUCUCGGUAUGUAAACUUCUAUCAGCAGGGAAGAUAAUGACGGUACCUGACUAAGAAGCCCCGGCUAACUACGUG